AAAAAGUUUGAUUUUGGCUUUUUUAUUUAUGUUAUUAAUAUAUUGCAUAUAAAUUUUUGUGUGAAUUAAUAAUUAAUUAAAAAUUAAUUAUAUAUAUAUAUAUAUAUAUAUAUAUUGUUUAAAAUUAUUUGUAGUAUUUAAUUUUAAUAAUUAAAGAAAUUUAGAAUUAUUAUUGGUAAUUAAUAUAGGUAAAAAAUGUGCCAGCAACUGCGGUUAAACAUUUUAUGUAAAUAAAUAUUUAUUUAUAAUUUAAUUUAAAAAAAUAUGAAAUUUAAUUAAAAAAAAAUAAAUUAAGUGAAAUUUUUUAUUUUUAAAAAAUAAAAUUAUUAUAAUUUAAUAUUAAGAAAUUUAAUUAAUAAACUAGGAUUAGAUACCCUAUUAUUUUAAAUGUAAAAAAAUUUUAGGGGAUUAAUAGUUAUGAUCUUUAAAUUUAAAAAAAUUGGCGGUAUUUAAAACUAAUUAGGGGAACUUGUUUUUAAAAUGAUAAUCCGCAAGAUACCUUACUUUAAUUAGAAAUUUAUUUAUUGUCGUUAUCAGAAAAUUUUUUAAGAAAAUUAAUUUUCUUAAAUAAAAAUAUUUAUUUAUUUCAGAUCUUUAUGUAGUUUAUAUUAAAGUUUAGAUGAGUUACAAUAAAAUUUAUUUAUGAUGGAUAUUAAUUUGCAAAAAUUAAUUAAAAUUGGAUUUAAUAGUAAAAAAAAAUAUUACAUUUUUUUGAAUUAAGAAUUAAAUAUGUACAUAUUGCCCGUCACUCUCAUUCUAAGAUGAGAUAAGUCGUAACAAAGUAGAAUUACUGGAAAGUGUUUCUAGAAUAAAUUUUAAAAUUAAAAUAAAUUUUUUUUAUAAAUUUUAUAUUAAAUUUUAAUUUAAUUUGAAAUAUAUAUAUAUAUAUAUAUAUAUAUUUAAAUAUAUAUAUAUAUAUAUAUAUAUAUAUAUAUAUAUAAUA
rnacentral:ncRNA from 1 species